GACUUUGAAGAUACGGACGGCGAGGGAGGCGCCUACACUGACAAUGAGCUGGAUGAGCCAGCUGAGGAGCCGCUGGUGUCUUCCAUCACCCGCUCCUCAGAGCCGGCGGUGAAACCUGCCUUUGGGCGAUCCAUCCUGAAGCCUUCUACUCCAGUCCCCAUGCCUGAGAGUGAGGAGGUUGGGGAGAGCACCGAGGAGCAGGAAGAGGCUCCCAAAUCAGUCCUGGGCAGAGUGAAAAUCUUCGAGAAGAUGGACCACAAGGCGAAAUUACAGAGGAUGCAGGAGCUCCAAGAAGCACAGAAUGCGAGGAUUGAAAUAGCUCAGAAGCAUCCUGACAUCUAUGCGGUUCCAAUCAAAGCCCCCAAGCCAGAUGCUGGCCUGCCCCAGCACAUGAGUUCUAGACCCCCAGAGCCACAGAAAGCUCCUUCUAGGCUUUACCAGGACACC
rnacentral:lncRNA from 1 species